rnacentral:tRNA from 1 species
GUCCCUGUAGUGCAAUGGACAGCGCUUUGGACUUCUAAUCCAAAGGUCGUGGGUUUGAAUCCCACCUGGGAUG